GUUUCCGUAGUGUAGCGGUUAUCACGUCUGCUUCACACGCAGAAGUUCCCCAGUUCGAUCCCGGGCGGGAACA
rnacentral:tRNA from 1 species